rnacentral:rRNA from 1 species
AUUGAACGCUGGCGGAAUGCUUUACACAUGCAAGUCGAACGGCAGCACGGACUUCGGUCUGGUGGCGAGUGGCGAACGGGUGAGUAACAUAUCGGAACGUAUCCAAUAAUGGGGGAUAACGAGUCGAAAGAUUCGCUAAUACCGCAUACGCCCUACGGGGGAAAGCUGGGACCUUCGGGCCUGGCGUUAAUGGAGCGGCCGAUAUCUGAUUAGCUAGUUGGUGAGGUAAAGGCUCACCAAGGCGACGAUCAGUAGCUGGUCUGAGAGGACGACCCGCCAACCGGGAACUGAGACACGGUCCAGGCUCCUCAGGGAGGCAGCAGUGGGGAAUUUUGGACAAUGGGCGAAAGCCUGAUCCAGCCAUUCCGCGUGCAGGAUGAAGGCCCUCGGGUUGUAAACUGCUUUUGUACAGAACGAAAAGGUUUCUACUAAUACUAGGAGCUCAUGACGGUACUGUAAGAAUAAGCACCGGCUAACUACGUGCCAGCCGCCGCAGUAA